rnacentral:rRNA from 1 species
AUGCAUCUAGGAAUUGCCUUCAUCCUCACGCCACUAAGACAGACGGGGAGUGCUCAUCACGGUUUCCUCGCGCCACCAUUAGAUGAGAAGGGUUUCGCCAUUGUGGGAACCAUGAGGCAAGGAGGAGAUAAGAUGAUGGAAGGACGCAGCAAGGAGGAUAGGAGGCGACGCGGACAAAAUUGGAAAGGGACCGGGGAAGGGAAGGAGGAGGCGGCGGGGUGGCUGCAGCUGUCGACGAUGCAGGAGGGGACUGUGGGGUUUGGCGGCGACCCGAUGCAGUUGUCACGACGCAGGAGGAAAGCAGUGGCGGCGGCAAACACAACCCUAAUCGCAAGAUCAUGGGCGUGCCAAGGUUGA